GACGAACGCUGGCGGCGUGCUUAACACAUGCAAGUCGAACGGAAAGGCCCUGCUUUUGUGGGGUGCUCGAGUGGCGAACGGGUGAGUAACACGUGAGUAACCUGCCCUUGACUUUGGGAUAACUUCAGGAAACUGGGGCUAAUACCGGAUAGGAGCUCCUGCUGCAUGGUGGGGGUUGGAAAGUUUCGGCGGUUGGGGAUGGACUCGCGGCUUAUCAGCUUGUUGGUGGGGUAGUGGCUUACCAAGGCUUUGACGGGUAGCCGGCCUGAGAGGGUGACCGGCCACAUUGGGACUGAGAUACGGCCCAGACUCGUACGGGAGGCAGCAGUGGGGAAUAUUGCACAAUGGGCGGAAGCCUGAUACAGCAACGCCGCGUGCGGGAUGACGGCCUUCGGGUUGUAAACCGCUUUCGCCUGUGACGAAGCGUGAGUGACGGUAAUGGGUAAAGAAGCACCGGCUAACUACGUG
rnacentral:rRNA from 1 species